GCCUGAUCUGCAUAUAGAUGCAGCUUUUCUGUUUCACUGGAAUCUCCUUCCAUCCUGUACUUUGAGAAAGAACUGGUUAUCUGAGAAUUUGAAGUCUGACAGAAGAAAUGAGGAUUUAACCUUUCUUUUAAAUCUCCCUAGCUUGUUGCAAGCAAAUUUUCAUGAGUGUCUUCAAUUAAAAUAAGCUGUGGUAGAUUGUUCAUUUGAAUUGAUGCUUUAAAUGAACUUGCUGAGCUGACAUCCAGCUGGAAAGAAGCAAGGAAAUUCCAGAGGAAUUUUCAGCAUUUCAAUGGGGAUGCAGAAGAUGUCAUCUCUAUCUUCUGGCUUUAAGUAGAAGCUUACUCCCAGCAGGGCCAGGGCUUUGUGCAUGGCUUGUGAAGAAGACCACUGAAAACCUAGUAUGGUAGCUAAAACACUCUUUUAGAAGUGACAGUAGUGAGUUAAAAAUUUUCAGCCUAAGCAGAGAACUGAACUUGAUUUUUCCCUCUCUAAUAGUCUUCUGGGACUCACAGACAGCAGGGAAACUGGAUCACUUUUGUAUAGUAAAGAAAAUGCAUAACUAGGCUCAUGAUUCUUCACAGGACCUUGAGCUCAAAACACCUACAGGGGCUUCAGCCAUCGAAUCAAGACACUUCUCAGGGUAAAGCAGAAGUUUUCAAUGGACUCAUGCUCUCAGAUGAAGCUUCAUACAUUUUUUCUUACAUAACAGACAUAAAAUGAAAUGAAGUGCAUUACUCUAAGAAUCUCUGCAGACCAUGACAUUUCUUAGCUUUCUCAAAAAAUUUCUUUCCAGUGGAGGAUGUGAAAAGUGUAUCUGUCCUAUCACUGCAGUUUAAAUUGGAUAAUGUCAUAACAAAUCAUGAAAAAAGUG